UGUAACAAGUUUCAGAAAGUUUUUUUCGAGUAUGGCUCUGUGUGAAGUUAGAUGGAGUGGAAUUUCCUUAUAAAAUGCCAAUGGAUAAAAAAAUCAGCAGGGAGGAGACAUGCCAUGGCAUAACAUCUCUAUAGAAGACUUGAAGUCUUACCUGGCACUUGUGUACAUGAGUCUUGUGAAGGUCUCCGCUGUGACUGAUUAUUGGAGGAGGUCUUAAAAUCUAUAGUGUUCCCCUUCCUGCUAAGAUCAUGUCCUGUAGGGAGUUUCUCAGAAUGAUGAAGAGAAGGGAAGAGCAGCCUACGACCGCUUGGGUAAGAUCAAGCCUCUCUAUGACAACAUGAGGGAUGCCUGCAGAACAUUUUUUCAUCCAAAUCACAACAUCUCCAUAGAUGAGAGGAUGGUGGCAUCAAAGGCGAGGUCUGGACUCAAACAAUACAUGAAGAACAAACCCACUAAAUGGGGCUACAAGCUUUUUGUCUUGGCAGACUCACUAAGUGGUUACAACUGUGCGUUCUUCGUGUAUGAAGUCCCAUGCUUCUCAGAGACCUCCUUCUCUAAGAGGAUUUGGGCAUGUGGCACCAUUCGUCCAAACAGGAUCAGUUUCCCAAAGACAACCAUCAACAUGAGGGUCCAUACAAUGAGGGUCCAUACAAUGAGGGUCCAUUCAAUGGCUCAGAGAGGAUGAGCUGCUGUUGGUGGAAAGGAAAGACAUCUGGGAAGUACUGAUGUGUUCUACAUUCCACAGAGCAAAGGCGGGUGAAGGACAAUGAUGGGCAGUGGUCCCAAGUUUGUCUACUAAAGUGUCUCAAAUGUGUCUAUUCCAGGUGCUGUGCUGGUUACCAACAGGUUCAUGGGGGGAGUGGACCUGUCCGAUGCCCUCAUUGGAUACUACAAAGUGCUCCACAAGACACGGAAAUGGCUUGGAAUGAGGCACAGCUGCUCCUCAGGCUUCAAAAGUUGACUGCCACAAUCCAAAGCAUGUCACAGAGGACAGCACUGCUGGAUGGAGAAAGUGCAAGCUUUGCCAUCAGAAGACACCAGUUGUGUGUGAAACCUGUGAGGUGCCAUUGUGUCUUCUGCCAAAAUGGGACUGUUACAAUUUCCGGCAUGAGCAGGGUGGGAAAUAUUAAUCGUUUUUUUGUUUUAAUCAUGCAUAAACUGUUUUUAGUUUAUCUAACAUUGUUCAAAGAGUUCAAAUCUAAUAGUUGUUCAAGUAAGCCAUUUCUGGUUUGAGACUGUAACAGCGAGGGAUACAUGACCAGUAUGUUUUUAUGAUUCUUUCUGUUAUAGGGAGCUUUUGUGUUAUAAUGCAACUAACAUGUAAUGCACACAUUAGGAAAAAAAGAUUUCCUAGUCUUGAAACACAUAGAAAUAGGAAAUUAAAAUAAAUCUUGCCUACUUUAUUCAAAUGUUCUUUGUUCUGCUUCCACACUUUCCUCUUUCUUGUCUUUCAGUGGCUUUGUUUUCCUGUUGGUUAGAGGACAAACCUUCUCAGUGACUGCCUUGAGUGUGUUCCUAUACUUUGUAAACGCUGCUUUAGUUCUUCAGUAACUGGAUAAUUAUCAUAAUUAGCAGUUAACUGUUUUAGAUUUAUUUGAAUGAAAAACUUGUAAAAUAAAGAUAUUUUGCAUGUUUUGUUUGUUAAGUAGUUCUAAAGUUAUCACUGAUCAAAUCUGUUUUAGUUUCACUGUUUUUGUCAUUAGAACUGUUCUAAAUAAAGACUAUUUAGCUAUAAUGUUCAAAUGUUCUGAUUUUUUUUCUUGUGUGGUUUUGUGGGCAGAGCAGAUCUGAAUUGAUGUACAUAAUAUAUUCAAUAUGGGCGCUGCAGUUAACUGUCCAAAAAUACAGACCUAACCCAAUCCCUAAACCUAGCCCUACCCAUAAUUUAUUCCUUAAAUCAGAGUGAUAAGAGUGAUAAGUGACUGAAGAUAAGUGAAAAACAAGAGUUUAGU